AAUAAAUAAAGGUAGCACCCAUGUAUAGAUGUAUAUAUAGAUUCUUAUGGAAUCGAAAGAUUAAACUGCCACGAUUGUUUCAAAUGUAUUCCAGCAAGAGUUAAUUAUAUCCAUAUUACUCAUAUGUCACUGUUACAUUUCAUAAAUUAAAUUGGUACUCAAAGUCUUUGGAUCUCCAGAACCUUGUGCAUGGAUUUCGUGUUAUUCAACUAAAACUAUUCUCCUGUAAGGUACAUCGUUAUAAAUCUUCUCUUAUGUUGGUAUGUAGCCCAUUUGACAACUUUUUCGCACUUCUGACGUUGAAGGUGACAGAAAUGAAGCGUCUGAUCUUUGGCAAAUAUUCUCCUUGUUUUCUCCAGCUAAUUCCUCGGCUAAACAAAAUAUGUACUCCUUUCUGGAUAUUUUCGAUCCGGUGCACUCUUUACAUAAUAUCCACGCGUUUAUCGCUGCCAAAUCUAGAAUAUUGAGAAAAACUUGAAGAGGCCAUCGGAAACUCCCCGCUUUCGCAUUAUAUUUGCGUGCCAUCUGAUCAACGACGUCCACACCAAAAUUUGUUUUUAUUAUAAAAAGCAAUGGUUUCUGGAACACGUUUAUAAUUGUCUUCUAUUUGUAUACCUGUAUGUUUGGUGCUUAGAAGGAGGAUUUUUACGUUAGGUUUACUUAUAUACACAGUAAGCGUGCAGUGUUCUAAUUUAUAUAAAUGUGAGGAAAAUGUCACGUAAAAAAUUUGUUUAAUCUAAGUUACAACGUUACGGUAUUCACGCGAAUCCAAGGAGCGAUUCCGGUGUUCUUUCAUCUCCGACAUAUAUAAAUGUGAGGAAAAUGUCACAUAAAAAACAACUCUCGUGGUAAUAUAUAUAAAAACUUUAUUUCUCAAGAGUCGAAGGCCCUUGAGUACCAAUAUUACAAUGCUACAGUAUCGGCUUAUGAUUCAGACUGGCUCGGCCGUCAUUAUUCGGAGUCUAAAUACUAAGCAAGAGCAAUGAAAACGAUGGAGGGGAUAUUGUUUUUGGAAGUUCCUUAUCAGGGUAGCGAGGUGUUAACUGACCGGAUGAUAUCUAGAGAUGUCAACUGUCCGGAGGAUAUUUAGAGGUAUCAACUGUUCUGAGAAUAUUUAGAGUAGAGGUAUCAACUGUCCGGAGAAUAUUUAGAGGUGGUCGCUUAAGGUGACGUCAGGGUAAAAGAAUUUGGGGUUACCAAAACAAGGUCAUCUUGUCCUUUUUCCCUUGAGUAUUGAGUUUCAUCUUUUCCCAUAUAACCAUACAAAAUAUAUUUUGUUUGGACGUCAACU
rnacentral:misc_RNA from 1 species